AUUGAACGCUGGCGGCAUGCCUUACACAUGCAAGUCGAACGGCAGCGCGGACUUCGGUCUGGCGGCGAGUGGCGAACGGGUGAGUAAUACAUCGGAACGUACCCUGUUGUGGGGGAUAACUAGUCGAAAGAUUAGCUAAUACCGCAUACGACCUGAGGUUGAAAGUGGGGGACCGCAAGGCCUCACGCAGAAGGAGCGGCCGAUGUCCGACUAGGUAGGUGGUGGGGUAAAGGCCCACCAAGGCGACGAUCAGUAUCUGGUCUGAGAGGACGAUCAGCCACGCUGGGACUGAGACACGGCCGAGACUCCGACGGGAGGCAGCAGUGGGGAAUUUUGGACAAGGGGGGCAACCCGGAUCCAGCAAUGGCGCGUGUGUGAAGAAGGCCUUCGGGUUGUAAAGAACUUUUGUCCGGAAAGAAAUCGCGCUGGUUAAUACCUGGCGUGGAUGACGGUACCGGAAGAAUAAGCACCGGCUAACUACGUGCCAGCCGCCGCCGUAA
rnacentral:rRNA from 1 species